rnacentral:rRNA from 1 species
GGCUCAGGAUGAACGCUAGCGGCAGGCUUAAUACAUGCAAGUCGUGGGGCAGCAUGAGUAGCAAUACUUGAUGGCGACCGGCAAACGGGUGAGGAACACGUACACAACCUUCCUCAAGCGGGGAAUAGCCCAGAGAAAUUUGGAUUAAUACCCCAUAAUAUAUUUGAUAAGGCAUCUUAUUAAUAUUAAAGCUUCGGCACUUGAUGAUGGGUGUGCGGCUGAUUAGAUAGUUGGCGGGGUAACGGCCCACCAAGUCUACGAUCAGUAGCUGAUGUGAGAGCAUGAUCAGCCACACGGGCACUGAGACACGGGCCCGACUCCUACGGGAGGCAGCAGUAAGGAAUAUUGGACAAUGGACGAAAGUCUGAUCCAGCCAUGCCGCGUGAAGGAUUAAGGUCCUCUGGAUUGUAAACUUCUUUUAUAUGGGACGAAAAAAGGGCAUUCUUGUUCACUUGACGGUACCAUAUGAAUAAGCACCGGCUAACUCCGUG